rnacentral:rRNA from 1 species
GCUUGUCUCAAAGAUUAAGCCAUGCAUGUCUCAGUAUAAGUUCCUGUACGGCGAAACUGCGAAUGGCUCAUUAAAACAGUUACAGUUUAUUUGAUGGUCGUUCCUUACAUGGAUAACUGUGGUAAUUCUAGAGCUAAUACAUGCUGGUGUGCCUGACUUUUCGGAAGGGCGGUAUUUAUUAGAUAACGAACCAAUAUUCCUCUGGUCUAUUGUGGUGAAUCAUAAUAACUGAUCGAAUCGCAAAGCCUUUGGCUGCGAUAUGUCAUUCAAGUUUCUGCCCCAUCAGCUUUCGAUGGUAGUGUAUUGGACUACCAUGGCUUUUACGGGUAACGGAGAAUUAGGGUUCGAUUCCGGAGAGGGAGCCUGAGAAACGGCUACCACAUCUAAGGAAGGCAGCAGG